AUUGAACGCUGGCGGCAUGCUUUACACAUGCAAGUCGAACGGCAGCGCGGGCUUCGGCCUGGCGGCGAGUGGCGAACGGGUGAGUAAUGCAUCGGAACGUGCCCAGUAGUGGGGGAUAGCCCGGCGAAAGCCGGAUUAAUACCGCAUACGACCUGAGGGUGAAAGCGGGGGACCGAAAGGCCUCGCGCUAUUGGAGCGGCCGAUGUCGGAUUAGCUAGUUGGUGGGGUAAAGGCUUACCAAGGCGACGAUCCGUAGCUGGUCUGAGAGGACGACCAGCCACACUGGGACUGAGACACGGCCCAGCCUCCUACGGGAGGCAGCAGUGGGGAAUUUUGGACAAUGGGGCAACCCUGAUCCAGCCAUGCCGCGUGCGGGAAGAAGGCCUUCGGGUUGUAAACCGCUUUUGUUCGGGAAGAAAUCCUCUGGGCUAAUACCCCGGGGGGAUGACGGUACCGGAAGAAUAAGCACCGGCUAACUACGUG
rnacentral:rRNA from 1 species